rnacentral:lncRNA from 1 species
CCCUCACAUGUCACCCCCUCCCCCACACACGUCACAUUUCCUCCCCCUUCCCACCCUCGUCGCAGACCCUUUUUCCGUCGACCUUUCCCACAUCCCCACCUCUGUCGAACCCCUCCCCAUUUCCCCCACCUCCGUCAGACCCUUCUCCUUCCCUCACCCCCGCAGACCCUCCAUUUUUCCCAACCAAAGUCGAUCCCUAAAUCUCCACCGACGCUGAGCCCAUCGGAUAUGCAGAGGCCGCAAUCCUCAGAGAAGAUAAUCGACGAUGGCUGCAUUCUCAUAUGAGAGAUGCAACGGUGAAUUCAAGUUUGAAAUCAAGGCGGCUCACGAUUGAGGGUAAGUGUGUAAUGCAGGGAUUGGUCGAAGCCGUUGAAAUUGGUCGAAAUUGAUAGAGGGCACAACUGAGGUAGGGAUCUAGGGCUCAACAACAAAGGUGGCGAUAGAACGCCUCUCGAGCGCCGCCGUGUUUGUUGUGAUCGGGAUGGCGAAGUAGUGGUUGGGGUCGAGCAACGGCGGAGGAAUGCUCGAGACAGGGAUGGAGCCUAAAUUAGGGAUUUUGAGGCGGUCGUUGUUGUGGGGAACUUUGAGGCGGUCGUUGUUGUGACGGCCAUGAUGGAGAAUAAUCUGGGGGAGGUGGUGAUGGGUGUGUAAAUGGGGAGGGAGGCGAGGUGGAGGACUCGGAUGAGGACAGGGAGAUCGACGAUGACGGCGGACAGAGGCGGCGAGAGGGAAGAAAGCAUGGGUUGGAGAGAUGGACUGAGUUGGCGAUGCGCUCCAUUGGAUGAAGAAAGGAUCGUCGUUGGUGAGUUGGGAUUUCUUGUGAGGGAGGAGAUGGAGUUGGAGGCAUUUGAUGUGUGGAAAUGUGGCGAAGAAGUUAGAGAGGCAGUCGGAUUCUGCUGCACUAACGGUAGGCUCGACGGUGAUGAUGGUGGCGAUAGCGCCGCGGGAGUGGAGGUCAGCGGCGAGGCGGAAGAAGGGGAUGAGGUGGCCCAUUCUGGCGCAGAGGUAGGAAGAUCAGAAACCCUAAUGGAGGGGUAGGAAGAGAGAAGGAAGUGGAUGACGUGGAUUAUGUUAAGUUUUUUUAAAUAAAACUAAUAAACCUGACAAUUCCAAGUGGAUUAAUAAGUACACGUAAUCAAAACNNNNNNNNNNNNNNNNNNNNNNNNNNNNNNNNNNNNNNNNNNNNNNNNNNNNNNNNNNNNNNNNNNNNNNNNNNNNNNNNNNNNNNNNNNNNNNNNNNNNNNNNNNNNNNNNNNNNNNNNNNNNNNNNNNNNNNNNNNNNNNNNNNNNNNNNNNNNNNNNNNNNNNNNNNNNNNNNNNNNNNNNNNNNNNNNNNNNNNNNNNNNNNNNNNNNNNNNNNNNNNNNNNNNNNNNNNNNNNNNNNNNNNNNNNNNNNNNNNNNNNNNNNNNNNNNNNNNNNNNNNNNNNNNNNNNNNNNNNNNNNNNNNNNNNNNNNNNNNNNNNNNNNNNNNNNNNNNNNNNNNNNNNNNNNNNNNNNNNNNNNNNNNNNNNNNNNNNNNNNNNNNNNNNNNNNNNNNNNNNNNNNNNNNNNNNNNNNNNNNNNNNNNNNNNNNNNNNNNNNNNNNNNNNNNNNNNNNNNNNNNNNNNNNNNNNNNNNNNNNNNNNNNNNNNNNNNNNNNNNNNNNNNNNNNNNNNNNNNNNNNNNNNNNNNNNNNNNNNNNNNNNNNNNNNNNNNNNNNNNNNNNNNNNNNNNNNNNNNNNNNNNNNNNNNNNNNNNNNNNNNNNNNNNNNNNNNNNNNNNNNNNNNNNNNNNNNNNNNNNNNNNNNNNNNNNNNNNNNNNNNNNNNNNNNNNNNNNNNNNNNNNNNNNNNNNNNNNNNNNNNNNNNNNNNNNNNNNNNUCUCCGACUCAGGUUAAUUGGAAAGAAAAUAGUGGGUAAAAUAAAGAAUACUAUAAGAGAGAAAAUUUAAUGGUAAAAAAUUAACAUUAAACUUUUUAUUAUAUUAUACUCCUUCCGUUCUCUCAAAUAUCUUCCUAUCUUUUUAUUUUGAUCUGUCCCCAUUUUUUUUUCUAAUAUACUUUUAAAAAUAACUGCACUCAUUCUUACUCUUACAUUUUUUUUUGUGGGACUCAAUUCUAAUCAUCAAAUACACAAUUAAUUUUUUAUUAAAACUCGUGUCAUCCUGCGCUAAAAGAUGUUUGAUGGACGGAUGGAAUAUAUAAAUGAUAUAAUUUGCUAAAAAGAUUUAUUAUUUAAUCAAAUUAUAAUUUAUUUUCUCAAUUAUAAAUAGAGAGUCAAAUUUAAAAUUUCACGCAAAGCCUACAAUCUCUUAACCCAUGAGGACGUCGACCAAACAUAAUUCAGAAACUGAAAUAAUGUAGUGGUCCAGUUUCUUAAGAUCGUGAGAUAUAUAUAAAAAAAAUGCUUUUUUUUUUUUUACUUUUACCCCGUACCGCCGUACGCACGAGGUGAAGUUUUUAUCAUUUUUCUUUUUAAAUAAGUAUUUACUAAAGUAAGGACAAUUGUAAAUAAAAGAGUUAAAUGCAUGUAUAUCACAAACUUUGAUCGAAAUUUAAAUAUAGCACAAACUUAAAUUUUUUUAAUUUAAAUAUGUAAUUUUACUCUAUGUUCAAUUUUAGCGCUGAUUUUUUUGUUUUCUUCAAAUUCGAUCCUACAUGUCAUUAACGUGGCCUGCCAACACAAGCCUUAGUAUUUUCCGGCCGACGAGCAAAACAUUGUGUUUUGUUACAAGCUUUCUCUCUCUCUCACACACACACACUAGAUUCUUAUCAUACCGCAACCUCCCCAGCUCAUUCACUUUCUUCUCCUCCCUCCAUCAAUUCUGCCGCCGCCACCACUACCCGACGGAAUCACAACUUUAAAAAAAGAAAUCCGAAGUUAGUGGAUUCUCCUGUAAAUCAGGACCAUAGACGUAUGAGAGUUUUCUGAACCAUGAAAAACUCAUUGCAUAUAUACUUGCUUUUAAUGGACUUAGUAAAAAUUAGUCACAUAAUAUAAUAUGAUCUAUUGAAGCUUUCUUCUUCGAUUGAAUCAUGCUUGCUUUAACGCCCUUGAAAGGGUGCUCAUGAUAGAUUCACCAUUGACACAUCCAAAUGUGGCUUAAUAUAAUAAAUAGUUGUACUCUUUCUAUUGAUUCUAUAGUAGGUACAUUAAAAGCAUAUAAAGAGCUACAUCUAUGCAUUUAAAAACAAACUAUAAUCUAGAAAAAUAAACUAAUUUUUAUUAUUAUGUUGAAGAUUUUUUUUUUUUUGGAGGCUGGGUUGAGUUAUGAGCUNAUUUUUUCUCUCUUCCUUAACUAUUUUAAAAUAUUUUUAUUAUAUUUGGGUACGAAAAAUAUUAAUUUAUUUAUUAUGACGCUUAAUACUCUAUAAUAAUAAUAAUAAUAACAAUAAUAAUGUGUAAUGUCAAUUUUUCAUUGUCAUACAUUUACAUCAGCUGUUCAGCCCCUAAGUAAUGAACAUCCUAUCUAAAACACAUGUUAAUUGAAUACAUAUCAUCGUUGAGUGACAAACAUGACAUAUUUCAUGUAAAAGUACUACCUUAUUAAUAAUGCAGUCCUUAAUUACUUCCUUGGUGAUUGAUUGAAUGGGCUUUUGCUCCAGAGUACCUGCCUCCCUGUUUUUGCUAUUUCUCUUGGCUGGUACAUAUUCUGUAAAUGGGAAAAUGCCUAUUUUCCCAUCAAAAAGCACAGUCCCAUCUUCUGCAAUCAAGGGCCUGCACACAGCGCACAUGAACAUCACUUUCGUUAUGAACUUCUUUGACUUGCAAGUCCUGUGUGGUUCGGCCUCUCCGGGUGUCAAAUAAAACCGGUGAUUUGCUUUGGUUAUGUAAAACCAUUUCUCAUCAAUAUGCACCGUGUUGUGCAUACUCUUGAAUUGAAGCACCUUGAGUAUUCUAUCAUACUCGAUUGCUUCAAGAGAAAACUUUAGACGUAGCAACUUGUUAGGGGCUAUUAAGUCGGGUUUUAUCGCACUAGUAUGAGCCCUGAUCAAACCCUUGCUAAUCCAUCGCCCAACUGUGCUCUUGCUGCAAUUUAUUCCACUUGCUAGCCUCCGAAUGGUUGAUCUUUUGCUUAGCUCCAAUGUUGAAAUUAAUUGAAGAUCUAUUUCAACUCUCUUGCGUCGUAGUUUGUUGAUUUUGCCACUGAUUGAAUGCAUAUGCUGACCUUGAUUCUGUUGUUUUUUUGCAGCAGUCCAUAGUCGCGUCACCGUCCGACGGCAAACGCCGAACUUGACAGCAGCAGCCUGAAUUCUGCCCCGUUUUGGCUUUCCACCUUGGCUGUCUUCAAGAACAAACUGCAUGAUCGAGUUUCUAUCGCCUGUUGAUAGAUCUUUUAGCCCCAUUUUUUCUGUUUUUGAAUGGUUUAUUGUGGCAAAAAGUAGGCUGCCACAAUUUCACAGUUUUUGAAGUGUAAUAGCCUUGUGUAGUGAAUGACAGAUUUUAUAGAACUUGGCAGUGAAUUUUGGUGGGAAUUUUGAAAGCUGUGAAUUAAAUGAAAAAUUUCAGAUUUUUGCUCUACUUUUCCCUCUUCUUUUUUCAUUUCAGAUUUUUGCUCUAAUUUUGAAGUGUAAUGCCUUGAAUUUUGCCAGCCUAUUAAAUUUGAAGGGAUCAAAUUCUGCCGCCUUGAAUUCUGCCGCCCUUUUAAUUUAAUGAAAAGUCAGUCAACCUUAUUUGAGUUAAACAUAAGAAUAAUUAAGAUUUACUUACUUUUUGUUAAAUAUGUGGGACCUCUUACUUUACAACACUAAUUCAACACUCCUUAAUCUCCGUGCCCAAAAGAAAUGGGACAAGUUUAUUGGGACGGAGGGAGUAUUUUUUAUUUCAUUAAAAACAUUAUUAAUAUGACAUUAUGUAAUUAUCAUAAAAUGAUAAAAUAUUAUACUAUAUUAUAAUUUUUUUAUCAAAUUAAAUCAAUACAUAUAAAAUAGUUGUAUAUAUUACUUGAGUCUAAAAUUAUGUGUAAAUUAGUUGCAUAAAAAAUUCUAAAAAUAUGUUCAAAGAUUAUUUUCUUAAUUUUUAUUCUAAUUUUCAAUAUUUAUUUCAUCAUCAAAUAAAUGAAAAUUAAAUUCAAGAUUUUAUUGAAUCAAAAGUUAUAAGAGAUAAAGAAAAUCUUAUGUUUUCAUUAAUUUGUUCAAAAUUAGUGUUGCUUUCUAAAUAUGACAACUUCUUUAUUUUUAUUAAUGUAUGUAUUUUUUUUUUUGGUAUUCAUACAAUUAUCUUUGAUAGGUAUUAAAUUAAGUUCAGAUAUCUUUACGUGUUUAUUUAUAUCUAAAAAAUAUGUGUUGAAAUAUAAUCUGUCACUGACCAAUAUGCUUAAUAGCAAGCACUUUCAUCCCUUAAAUUAUGAUUAAAACUUUGGUGAAAUUAUAGCUUUAAUUUAUAAAUGAAUUUUUCUUCCAUAGUUUGAAUUUUAUAGGUUGAUAUUUUUUUUAAUUCAUCAUUUUUCACACCAAAUCCAUAAUGUUACAUAACAAAUUCAUACACAACUUAUUUUAUGCGAUAAAUCUGGUUUAAUUUUUGUAAUUAUAGAAACUCCCUAUAUAAGUUAUACAAGAUCUAUAUAUAUAUAUAUAUAUAAGCAUGUGCUAUAUUUUUGUAUAAUUACAUUGGUUAUAUUAAAAUAUUAGAUCACUUAGCAAAAAAUAAUUUUGAUAUCGAAUUUUAAUUAUAUUAAUUUAUAUUAAUAUAAUAAAAUAUAUAAAUACAGAUUUUACGCGAGUCCAAAUUCACAUUCAACCGCGCAUAACGCGAGAGGUACACUAGUUUAUAAAUCAAAUACUAGAAAGUUACAAUAGUCGAUUAGUUUACAAUCUAUGGUUCGAUUGAAACAACAUUAGUACGUCUGAAAGCCAAAGUGGUACCCAGCAGUUAUAAUUGGCGUGUUGGUACAGCAGGAGAAGUCGCGUAACAUCCACGCGCGUGCUUUGUACGCUGACACGCUCACAUAUAAAUGCUGUACUGAUUUUAUUUCAAUCCACCUGUUUCCGCCAUCUCAUUUUGCAUCUCUCAAAUUCAAAUUUCGGGUGUCCUCUUUGAAAACCCUAGAGCUCUCCAUCCCUCUCCCGCUCUCUCUUUCUCUCUCUACAUUCCAGGCUACCUACAGAGGCGAUGAGGAAGGGAACCAAGCGUAAGGCAACGCACAAGGAGCCUAAGACCAAGCCUGCAGAGGAUCAGAAAAACGAGCCUAGCCAAUCGCCAGCUCAAGAGACCAACUCGGAGGAGCCCAGCCGCAAUGCUGAGCCAGAGCCGACCAAAGGAGCAGCUGGAAAGGACAGACGGAAGCGAGCUAAGGUUGAAAAGCCGGAAACCGCGACUGAGUAUUUCCCCGAGAAGCGCAAUUUGGUACGUUUUCAGUUUCGGCAUAGGAUUUUGAAUUGCUUCUUGCUGAUCUUUUCUUGCGUAUAUUGUGUUAACAUGAAAAUUUCGCUUGAAACUGUGCUUCUGGUAACGGAUCGUUCAGCUAGUUUUCUAUCAAGAAUCAAGAUAUAAUGUCUACAUUGUUGCUUCUUUUAAUGUGACUUGGUUUGUCUCAAUAAGCUGAGAUGCGUUCUCCUCUGUCAUUAUGUAGUUUGAAGAUAUUUAUACAAGUCUUUGCAUUGGUUAAUGUUUUUAUGUGCUACCAUGUGUUGUGCAGGAGGAUCUCUGGCUGCAGGUUUUUCCGGUGGGCACAGAGGUACGAAUAUGAUUCUCUCUAGUUUUAGCUAUCAUUUCUCUCUCUCAUAUUAUUUUGAUGAUAAUGAAUUUGAUUUCCUUUCUUUUACGUAAUUUUUUAAUUGACAGUGGGAUCAGUUGGACACGGUGUAUGAGUACAAGUGGAACUUCUCUAAUUUGGAAGUGAGUAUCCAAUAACUCUUACAGUCUAACUCUUUAACAUGUGAAGGUUUUUGUUGAUUUGGUCCUUAUGAGAUCUUUCUCUGGUGACAAAAUUUUAAUGCACUGAGAGCAAAUAUUAUGACUCGAGCUGAGCAAGUUACGGAAUUGUAAGUUUGGUAUUACUUGUGUUGAUGUGGCAGGAAGCUCUUGAAGAAGGGGGAGAGUUACAUAAUAAGAAGGUCUAUCUAUUCGGCUGUACAGAGCGUAAGUAGUGCAAGAACAUAAAUCUUCCAAUUUUUUGUUGGCCACAAAUAAAGCUUGUGCUUCCUGGAGAAUAUGGAGGUUUACAUGAUGAUACUAAUUAAUUCUCUCUAUGGUUUCUUAGUAUUUGGGGGUCUCAUAAUUCUCUUGCUAGGAUUUCUCCAUGCUAUCCUGACUAUUUAUCUCUGCAGCUCAAUUGGUUCCUUACAAAGAUCAAUCAAAAGUUACAAUGAUACCUGUUGUGGUUGCUGUAAGCCCCAAUACUUUUCUCUGCACCUUUGACAUUUUAAUUUUAUGUGUUUUUCAUUUUUUCUCAGUUGAUUGUACUUUUUUACUGAUGACACCCAUUGAAAUUGGAUGUUAGUGAAUCAAUUAUAUUCUUGAAAAUGAUCUACUUCCUAGACAAACCAUGUAAUGGUAGAUUAUUUCUGCUUUUGCACUCUUCUCUGCAAUAAUACAACCUUAAUAUAUUGUUUAAAAUUCACCAAUAAUUGUACAUCUAUUCUCUAUAUUAUAGUUUUCCUGAUAUGCCUUUUCUUUUAUUUCGGCUUCUAAUGAGAGGGACUUGUGGUGUUUCAUGUGAUAUUGGUCAUCGCAGAUAUCUUUGUUCACUCCACUAACUAUAUCUUAAACUUGUAGCUUUAUGUGUUUAUGGUUAUCAUAAAUUCUCUAAUUCUAAGUUUGUGAAAUUUCUAAUAUUUUGAUGCGAACGAUCUCAAUGCUACUAGCAAAUUGUUCUUCUUCAUUGGCUCAAUUUGAUGAUCUUUGUUCCGUCUCCCUUCAUACAUGGUGGAUAUUAGGCUUUGUUGAUACAUUCCUAGCCCUAUUGCAAAUUAUACACAAUUAUACCCAUUCGUGGUUCUAAUUACUAUUGAAAUUUUUUACUGAUUCAUGGAUAUGUUCAAAUGAAUAGGUGGUAUCACCUUUCCCUCCAUCUGACAAAAUUGGUAUCAAAUCAGUUCAGAGGGAGACUGAAGAAAUUGUGCCUAUGAAGCGGAUGAAAAUGGAUUGGGUCCCUUAUAUACCUCUUGAGAAAAGGUAUCAGAUUUUCCUUUUAAAUUUUCUCCUGCUGAUUUUGUCUGUCAUAUUGUUGACAACUUUUCCUUUUCAUUUACUCAUAGGGAAUCUCAAGUUGAAAGACUUAAAAACUCUCAAAUUUUCAUCUUGAGCUGUAAUCAAAGGAGGUAACCUUUGCCUUUUCUCCUGUUUUUUUUUGGAUUUCAUGAACUUUUGCCUAACUAUAAUUUUUUAUGGUGAGGGAUUUGUGUAUUUAUUUUUGUGGUUUGCUAUGUGUUUGUCUCAAUAGUUAAAUUUUUAUGUCUCAGCAGUUUAAGAUCAUCUACUGUUGCUGCCUGCAUCGUUUGCUGUAUAAUCAAUUUUUCUUUUCUUAUAUGGACAUCUAGGUUUAUUCAAUGAUUUGAAUAUCAGAUUUUUACUUAUCUACACCAUCUACCAUGUUUAGUAAUUCUAACUAGUGUAAUAAUUUUUUGCAAUAUAAUUUAUACUCAUUAAACUUCCAUGAAUGAACAUGGACACCGUAACAGGGGAAAAUCUUGACUCAACUUUAAUAUCUUCUCUUCAAAGCACCAAUUGUUUCUUCAAUAGUUAUUGAUAUGUUUUAAUUACCUUUUCACCACUUGUACUUGGAUUUAAGUGUCUAAAAAGACAACUUGCAAGUUUUACUUGUUUAUAUAUAAUUCUCCUUAUGUUUAACUGUUUAAUACCCCCAGAAAAAGAAUGAAGAAUUAGCUACUUGGUAUUGCUCUUGUUUUGACUUCCUUUCAGUGUAGUGGAAUUUUAUAUACAAAUGGGCAAGGUGAUUUAUUUUUCUGAAGUUGAUGAGGAUGCAAUGCAUGGUUGGGGAGGAUCGAGGCCUCAUUGAUCUUAUAACACUUAUGUCCAAGAGUUGCUUCUUCUUGCAGGGCUGGUCUAAGACAUCUGAAGAUAGAGCGUGUAAAGAAGUUCGAGUACUGCCUACCUUGUGAGUGAAAAUGCUAUAUUUCCUGAAGGAUUUCUAUUGAUUCAUUCAUUAUUGUCCUUCCAAUUCUUGUAAUUUCUGGGUCUAAAGGAAUUUUUAUAUGAUUGAUUUUCAGUAUAGUGCUAGUUCAUUCUUGUGAAAUGUAUGCAUUUUUCAAGCCUUUUUGUGUACCACUUUAUCUGAAAUCCCUGUCAGAGCCCAUCAGAGCUUAGAGGUAUUAUCAUGAUCGCAGUAAUGGGAAUCUGUGGAUUCUGGUUAUCUAUGUGAAUUUUAAUUUGAUAGAUAAUACUUUAAUAGUUAAAUGAUUGGUUUUGAUGAUACAAAUGAGUUAGUGCUAUAUGAUAUUGUUUAGCAUUACUGGUCUGAUAGGAGAUAUAUUCACCAAAUAUUACCUGACGGUUAUGAAAUUCAGGAGGGGCUAAUGGUUAUGACAUAUUACCUGACUGUCUUAACAGCACUAGGGUUGUAGCCUAACUUGCCCGAGAAGGUUACCGUUACUGUUGAACUCCUGGUUUCUGGCAGUUCACUUAAAAAUUUGCUUGUAGAUUUUCAAGUUUUAUAGAUAGUAUUAUGCUAUUAAUUUAUUUGAUGAUUUUGAACUAAAAGGAGUGAAAAAAAGUAAGAAUUCGGGAAAAAUAAUGUGUAUCAUUCAAAUUUGAUAUAUAUAGUUCAAAAUUGCUUACAAUCUUUCAAAAAGUAACUUAUAAUUACACAUUUAUGACUUGGAAAACCAUUAAAAAAAUUAAAAUAUAAGAAAAAUACAAAACCAAAACACCUGUGGUUUAACUUGCUGCUGGUUAGCCGAUUAUAAAAGUCCAAUUGUAUCUGAACUGAAAAUUUACAGUUUCAGUUACGACCAACUGCUAAGCGCUAGUUACGGUUGGUCAAAGGUUUGGUUGACAGUUUUACCCUGUUUCCCAUAUGUUGAGCACGUCUAGCUAAGAAGAUGAAAAUUGUAAUAAUGAUUUGUCCUUUUUGGACUCCAUUUGGCAAUCAAUAUUUUACGGUUUCCUGCUAUUAUGAAAUGCUGCUAAAGUUAUUGUGUGAUGAAUAUUGUGUAUGUCGUGAGAGAAAAGAUCUCUGAUAUUGUACCUUAGCUACUAGCCCUGUUCUUCUGUAAAUCUGGUAUUUGAUUAUAUUUAUAUGCGUUGCUCUACUUGGCUUAUAUUCUCCUUUCUUGCUUAAUGGAGUAUGUUCCAUGAACCUUUUUUAUUAUUAUAUUGUUGGGUCUUUAAGAAUAGUUUAUUCAUUGCAUGUGCUGAUCAAUUAUCUUCCACCUAUGUUCCAUCCACAUUAGGCGCAGUUGAGCCAGUUUCAUACAUUACUUGAGCAUAACUUGUGAACACCGGGUUUAUUAACUUCUUAAUGUUUUAUGAAUAUCUUUGAAUAUUUUCCUGAUUGCCCAGAUAGGGUUCUGACAUAUCCCCUCAUCUUUUCACAGACUUUUAUGAUCCCCUUCAGGAAGAUGAACUAGAGCAGAGCACAGUGGUUGACCUUUUAUUUCCUAUUGAUCCCAAGCCGGUAAGGCUGUACCUGUUAUUUUAUCCUACUUAUACAAAAAGCCGCUCUUGAGAUUGGGCCAAGGGUUUUACCUGUUUGUACUGAAUUUAGAAAACAUUUGGGUCACGUGAAUGCAAACCUUACUUCUACUGCACCUCCAGGUUUUCUGCGAGUUUGAUUGGGAACUUGAUGAGCUAGAGGUACUCUUGCAAAUUAUGUUAAUGUGUUAAUAUUUAAUGUUACAUAAGUGAUACUAUGAUUUUUUAACUUGCAUGCAUAGCUUUGUCUAGCAUAUCUAUCUAUGAAAUACUACUAAUGAAGUUAUGUAAUAAAUUAUCAGGAAUUCACUGAUAAGCUGAUUGAGGAAGAGGAGUUACCUGCUGAUCAAAAAGAGCCCUUCAAGGUGGGUUAUCGCUGAUGAUUGUGCAUGUUGCUUACAUCACCAAUCCUUUAUUGAUUUUUUUCCUAUCUUCUAGUGUCUACUUAACCCAUUUUUUCUACCUCAGGACUAUGUGAAGGAGAAAGUCCGUGAAGCAAAAAAAGCUAAUCGUGAGGUACUUUCUAAACAAGUCCAGUGUAAUAAGUUUCUUAUCAUUUUUUUGUGUGAUUCAUGCCUGUUGACUGCACUUUUUCUCUGUAGGCAAGGGAAGCCCGUAGAAAGGCACGGGAGGAAAUGAGCCAACAAUCAAGGGCUGCAUUUGAGAAUAUGAAAUUCUACAAAUUUUAUCCAGUACCUACACCCGACACUCCAGAUGUAUCCAGUGUAAAGGUGAGUAUAUCCUCAUUCUUAAUAUAUUUGCAGAAGCCUUAUGGGAAGUUUUAAUUUGGCCUUUAUGCCCUUGUUUUUCCAAUAUUAUUUCCUUGGCUAAGAGAAAAGUCAAAAGAUAAUGUUCUGCACAAUUUCCUGUUUAUAUUGCCUCCUGAACCUCAACAUUUUCACCUUUCUUCUAUAUUUGAAAGAUGAACUGUAAAGUGUUAAUCAUGCUGCUGAACUCUUGGAGGAGCAUUUCUGAUACUUAGCAUAAUUAUUAUUGCAUACUUUCCCUAUAUGUACACUGUAGACCUUUUUAUGGUGAUGGUUAAACUAAAUGACCAUUGUGUGAAGUAUUUGUUAGUACAAAACUUUGGACAAAAGCACAUCGCAUGGGAAAUUUUAGUAACUAUAUGGAUAAGGGUAGUAUUUAUAGGAAAAUUGAGUUCCGGUCUAACUUAAUUUUUCGUGUGAGUGUUUUUUAAAUAUUUGUUCAACCUCAAAUGUAAGUUGUAUCAUAACUAAUUCCUAUUGUAUAGUUAUCCCUGCUUAGGAAUGCUUCCUCUGGCAGGAUUGUAAUGCUAUUAUUGCCAAUCUUUUUCUUUAAUUUUUAUAAGCUCAAUUAUGCAAAUACAGAACCCAAUAUACUUUAAGGGGGCAUUUACUUUUCACAAUUGAUACGAUGCACAGUUGAGUUUUUAUAUUUUCAUUACUAGGAUAUCUCCAAUCCCAUCCUUUCAAUGAGAUAUGGAUCAAGCAAAAAUUAGUUAAAAUGAUAGAAAUUAUUAAGUGCCUUAGGAUAUCCCAAAGUUUCAAUCCAUCUUAGUAAACAAUAGAUUAGCCUUACUAUUUAUAUGUAUCAAGACUAAUCCUCCCCCCUACAAUGACCAAUUGUUAACAUGUUUUAGUUACAUCAUUAUGUUUCUUCCAGUGUAUGAGCUAGGAACUGACCAUUUGCUUGCUUUUUUCUUCCUCUGCAGUCUCCGUUCAUUAAUAGAUACUACGGGAAGGCUCACAAGGUUAUAUGACAUGCAGCUGAUUAUUUUUCUACGGAAGGGAGCAACACUUCGUUGAUGCUCGUUGUCGGUGUGCUCGGUGGAAGUAAGCUCAGAAAUAUUUAGAAUUUUCCAAUGCCUUGACUAUUCAUUGAGGGCGGGGUUCAGAAUUUUGUCCUUAAAAAAGUGUAACUUGUAUAAGUGAAAAAGACUAGGGAAAAUACGGAUCAAACAGCCAACUUGAUCUUCGUGGCUCACCUAUUUCUGUAUCGAUACGAGACGAGACAUCAAUUUACCGGCAAGUUAAUUGAUUAUGAAAGUUGUAAAACCCCUUGCGUAAUUUUUGACACAGUUGGCAGCCAAUGUAAUUUUUGGUAUUCCUGUGUAGUAAAUUGAGUUGAGUGAUGGGUUGUUGUAGUGUAACGAGAAAGAGGUGUAGUUGAAAUUGACAUUCCUUGAAGAGUUAUAGUUUCUGUUGCUUCCUUCCAUGUUUGGUUUUGGUCUCUAUAGAAAAAUUCAAUGCGAGAUGAAUCAACGUAGCGGCGGGUGAUCGAGGGAUGCAACAGAGGAUGAAAUGAAUAGCCAAACCUGAUUGCUAUUUUCAGCUUAAAUACACUUUUUCCUUAUUUUGAAAAGCCUUCUUGGAAGGCAAAUUUGAUAAAAGACCUCUCUAAUUUUGGAAGUCCUCUUGAUGAGAUAACUUGUCUCUAUGGUGUUUUGAUUAUAGUGUAAAACCCCCAGUUUGGAACUUGAAAUUCAUGUUCAAAAUUUCCCCUUAAUUUAUAUCGCGUUAAGAUAUUUAUAUAUGCAAGAGAUGAAUAUAAAUUAUCAAUUACAUAACAUUCUCUUCCCUCUUAAAUAAAAACACACAAUUCAUAACUGAAUAUUUUGUCACAAACUAUUUAUUAAUUACUUAAUAAAUUAACUUGGUGGAUCUCUUUCUUCAAUUUAUGCACAUCUUUCAAUAUUUUUUCAAAACUCAUGCUCUCUCAUUCACACUUACACUACAAAAAAUAAAUGGUGUUGUAAACACCGAUUUUUAAUCGAUGGUGUCGUAACUUGUAGUGCUAUAAAGGUAUCAAAAAAGAUAUUAAUAGAUAUUGGUUAAAAAUCGAUUUCAUAGAUAUGUACGACACCAAUUUUUAACCGGUGUCUAUUAUCGUCUUUUUUAAUCGGUGUCGUAGGUAUCUACAACACCGCUUGAAAAAUGCGCUAAUAGACACUGAUUAAAAACUGGUGUCGUAUAUAUUACUAUAAAACCAAUUUUAACUAGUAUCGUAGGCAUAUAUUGUUUUAAAUGCGGUGUUGUAGGUACCUACGAAACUGAUUUUUAACCAAUCUUAUAGGUACAAUCGACAUAAGUUUUUAUUGAUUACAAUAAUUUUUUAAUAAAAUAAAAUUUAAUUAAUAACAUAAAUAAUACACAACGUAUGUCGAAAAUAUGCAUUAUCAUAAUCAACAUUGAUUACAAUAAUCUAGAAUGUCAUUAAAUAAGUUUCAAACAUGUACCUAACAACUUCAAAAUAUAAAAAAGUUUCUAAAUGCAUAUAUAUAUAUACGAGUAUUCAUGCGACGAAACUCUUUCCUCACAACAUAAUUAUCGUUCCAAAGCAAUUUGAUCCUCAACGGCUCAACCAGUCUUGGGUUUUUCAGCUCAACAUGUCGAAUCUCCCAUAGUGGAUAGCCACGCUGAUGACCAAAAGCUUCACGAGGAACUCGGUUUCUUCCUAUAACUUUAAAGCAAAGAGGAAAUUAGGAAUAUAUUUAUAAUACUGAAACAGUAAGGAAAAAUCACUAACAAUUGUAUGAACUUCUUCAUUAUGAUAAAAUCUACCAUGGAAAUGGUCCUUAAGUAUGAGUGUGUUGCCUCUGCAGACAAGAAGCUAAUGACGUUGUAUUUUCUUGAAAAGCAUACCAAGCUAAAACAGAAAUAGACCAACAGAACUCUAUAAAAACUGGAUCAAGUCAAAGCUUGCAAAUCCUCAACUAGUUUACCCACAUGUCAAAUUUGAUGCUAUGGACUCCAGUACAAAGCAUAAAACAUGACAAACAAAUUGUAAUAAACUUAGCCAAUAAUGGGGAAUAGGAAAUGAAGGGAUAAGAGGAAGAUGUUUAGAGAGAGGAAGGAAGUAGAGGAUGAGUUUUUCAUUCUGAAUAUAUAGCUCUAAUGUGAUUUCUAUCACAAGAAAGAAUGCAACAAGAAGGUGGAAGAACAAAUAUGGCAAAAUGCCGUUGACAGUUCCAAACAUGGAUCAAUUCGAGCAUGUGAGAUGUAAUCGUGGACGGAGGGAGUAUAAAUUUUUGAAGCUUGUACGUGUGUCUAUGCAUGAACCGUAGUUGAUUAUUGUGUGGUAACUUAAUUGUUGCAUACAUGAGCAUAUUAGAAAGUCUAAGUGGCAUGCCCAAUGGCCUAAGCAUGUUUUUAAUGAAUCUAAGAUUUGUAAGUAAUUUCAACUUUCUAAAAAAAAUCGAGAAUAGGUUGACCGUAAGUCGAAGUUGGUUAAGCAUGAUUUUUGACAAGGGAACUUGUGUGUAUUGCAAAAAAUGUUUUUUCUCCAUUUAAUUAGAAAUGUAAAAGUAACAUAAUGAAAUUAGACUAAAUAAAAUUAGCACAAGGGAUGAAACAGUACGUACAAGAGGAACACAGGAAGCCAAGAAAAUUCCACAACGCAGGUGGAAAUCUUGUAUACAAUUAAAUACCAAAUCUACACUCCCUGAGUUACUUAAAUAAUCACAAACUAUAUGAUACAAUGAUGGUAGUGAGAUGAAGAUAGUAGGGCAAAUCUACAACAAAAGGCUUUAUGCUACUCUUGGAGCAAAGUAUGAAUCAUCUUCAAAAUGUCAAGAGAUCUGUCCCCUGCGACGAAAAAUGCUUAAACCACUCCAAAGGGCUCGCAAAGGGCAUGAAACCACACAACAACGGGAGAAAUAGCAGCGUAGCAUAGAACAGCGACUUUCUCAUCCAGUACGGAAACACAUAAUUGUGGUCGACCCUUUCAGCAACUAGGAUAGGUCCAUUGAGAACAGUAUACAAAGUAGAAUGGAAGAUGUUGGAGAAGAAAUGCAGCAAGCAUAGGGCUUCCCAAUAGACUAACCAAUGAUUUCCGCUGCCCCCUAACGUGUCAAUGCAGAACUUCCCAGCAUAACCACAUCCCACCCCUAAGAGCAACAGUAUGACAGUCACAGGCAUUGUCUGAUGAGAAGACGAUGAUCUCUGAAUGAGUAAGAAGGCAAUUGCCGCAAUCAUUAUCACACCAAACAACAUGCGACUGAAUACUUGAAUUUGACAUCUCAAUAGCUGCAGGCCUGAGUUGAAACUUGACACUGCAUUUGGCAUCCACCAAGAUUUAGAUUCCUGAAGAAGAAAAAAAAAAGAUGUUGAGUAAAAAUACACUGCUGAAACAGAGGCCAUUCAAAAACAGAAAUGGAUCAAGUAAUGUCACUUGAAGAUAGCGAUCAUGAUUAACAGAGAUCAACACGUUUCACACCUCAAGCAAGUAUAGUAAAAACUGAGUAACUUUCAAUAUCGACUACAAGUACUAGUAAUGUUAUGCCCAGUAUCACAUGCAAAGAUGUUAUAUAAUCUUUGGGCAGAACUCAUCCCCAAAUGCGAGAAGGUGGUCCAGUCGACAUAAGCCCACAUCGAAGCCCAAUACUAUAGCAAUUUUAUAAAUCAACCAGGAUAAUAAAAUAUGUAAGAACAAAGGAACUGCACAAUGGUGGAGGCAAGAAAAAUAGAGGAAACAAAUAGGACAAGUUAACAGGGUCAAAAAGCUGAUGAACCAACACAAGUGUAAUAACCGUGACCCUGCCACCAUAGAAAGAAAAAAGGAAAAAAAAGAAACCAUAUGACAUCGUGUAGAGAAAUUUAAUGCAUAUCUACUAGCACCUUUGACAUACAGUCCAUUACUUAAAAAUGACUCUUUGAAGUUGAAUCUAUAAGAUGCAUGUAUAAAUACAUUAAGGUAGUUGGUAAAAUCUUAUGCCCAUGCACUAGUAGUGGAUUCCAAAUACCAUAAAUUUGCACCAGUGCAGAAUGGAAUUUCGGGAAGUCACUUAUAAUUAAAGUAUAAAGUCAAUUCAAAAUCACCAUGAAACACAAUUUCGACAAAUGUUCUUCAAUCACACAAAGCAUAUCUGACAUAGGUUACCAAACAAGCUCUUAAUUUCCAUCUACAAGACCUGUAUAAGACAUAGACUACUUGUUUCUGUUAGUGCUAGAACUCAUUCGUGAAAUCUAAUUGUAAUAAAGGAGAAACAUAAGAUGAAAAGGGAUAAACAUAACCCAAUAAAAACAAGGUGGCAAGCUUUGAUGACAACAUAGAUGUAAAACCAAAUAUUUAAAUUCCAACAUUUCUUGAUGUUUUUCGUUUUUGUUUGGAGGGGGGGCUAUCACAAUGAGAUAUAAGCUUUGAGUAAGAAUAGUUUGUACCAUGUAGGGAGAGCAAGCUUCAGUAGCUUCAACAAUUCUUUGGUGUGAGUAGACGUAUGUUCCAUAUCCAAGUGCAAACAACAUGAUGAUUAGACCACCUACUAGAAAAUCUAAGCACUUCUUGAGUAGCUCCACUUGUCUCGUGUCUUGUAUCUCAGUUUUGAACUUUUCAGCUUUGAAAGAAGCCUUUGAGAUACCCAUUGAUAAUUUCCAUCUCUCGAGAAUAUUGGCAUUAGAAUUCAGCUCUAAUUGUCUUUCUUUAAGCUGCAACUUUUUCAUGGUAAGACCAAUUUCAAAUGUCUUUAGCUCAUUAGAGCGAGUCUGCUCCAUGACUGAUUUUUCGAUCGUGCUUAGCAUAGAAAAUUGGUUUGGAGAAGCACAAGCUAACUGCUGCUCAGUUCGUUUAUCAUGCAGAAUAAGCUGUUGACUUGUCAUAUUCAUCUUCUCCUCCAUUUCUGAGAGAGUAUGGCAUUGCCCAUCAGCGCUAGUUCUGUGGGGAUAUGCCACCGGGCCAUCUCCAUUACUGGAAAGGCAUGCCAUAUCUCCUAUUCUAAAAUGAGACGAGAGGUUGCUAGAUUCAGAAGUACUAUCCUGAUAUCCAGAUCCUUGCUGUCGUUUGGUGAUAUUUGCAUGCACACAUGAUUCUUUCUCCGUAGCCUCAGGAGGACAAGCAGAAUCCUUAUAUGUGUCACCACACGUCAUAUUGCUUGUCACUGAGCAAGAACACCCUACAAAUCUUGCUCCUUGGAGUUUUUCACCAUCAUUUUGAGAUGAACAACUGAUUAACUGCAAAGUCGUCAAUGUACUCCGAAAUGAUGUCUCAAAGUUCGUCACCAAAUUAUUAAAUUUAUCCCCAAAAACCUGCUCCAGACAAACAACAGAUUGAAAAAGAAUAAUUACUUACAUAGGUUACAAGGGUUUGGAAAACAAAGUACAAGAUAAUGAAUGCAAGGUUAAGACAAGACUUACGUUUCCUAUAGAUUCCCUCACGGCCAGACCACAAAUCUGCAAGCAACACACAGUGAGCAACUUUAUCAGAUUUGCAUACUCAGAACAGAUAAAAGACUAAGAUACGUAAAGACAACAAAAACUGUUAGAUACUUUAACUCAUCAAAUAAUAUGAAUUGUUUCACCAUAUACCUCAGUAGGCAUUCAGUCACUAAAUUAUACUCCCUCCGUCCGCCAAGAUUAUGACAAUUUGCUUGGGCACGAGAUUUAAUAAAAUUGGUGAUGAUUUUGAUGUAGUGGAGAAAGGGUCCCACCACUUUAUGAGAUGAGUGGUUGAGAUUGAAUUUUGAGUGGUUUUUUUGUAAAUAAAGAGUGUUAGUAAGGAUAAAAUAUUAAAGAUGAUGGUGGGACCAUUGCCAUAAAAGGAAAGUGACAUAAUUUUGACGGACGCCCAAUAUAGUAAUUGUGACAUAAUCUUGGCGGACGGAGGGAGUAAGAGAAUGCAAGUUUCAGAUAACUUUAGUCCUUCACAAAUGAGAAAUAUCUUUUAUUAUAAGAACAGACUCAUAAAUUAAGCAUCUAACAUAUCAUCAUUAAUAAGGGUAAAGAUUGUACCGCAGACAGAUAAUCCACCGAAAUCUUUUUGCCAGCUGCAUUUUUCUUCUCCAAAACCUAAAAAUAAUAUGCAACAAAUACCACAGUAAAGAUUGGGUUAGUUUGUUUUAAUUGAUUAAUAUAUAUAAACAUACAUAAAAAGAUCAUUUGAUACAUCCACAAUCAUGCAUAAUUCGAUAUAUAAUAUAAACAAAUACUCUUCUUAAAUAUGUGAUUUUCAAAGGUACAUGACCAAUUGAACAAGUAAAGAAAAAAUGUUAUCAUUUGAUUUAUACUUGUGAUGGAAAAGACCUCCAUAACAUAAAUCCAGACCACAAUAUUGCUUAAAACAAAGUGGACACUACCAUCCCACCAUCUCCACAUAAGCAAAAAAAAAAUAAUAAUAAUAAAACAAGAAAAACGGGAUAAGGGAAUCGAAUUACUAUAAAGAAAAGACAACAUGAUAGCGAACAACAGCUACAACAUCGGUUACCAAUGUUAAGCUAUUAAUGGUAUCAUAGAUCCAUAGCUUUUUAAGAAUAAAUUUAUAUGGAGAAGGAUACUUGUCACAUAUUUAUGAUGCCUAAUAUAUGGUAUGAGAAAAAUAAAAACACCCCAAGUAACUGAAAAAUUACAGAAAUGAACUGUCAACAAGUAAACUCAUAACUUCUCCAUACAAAGAUUCGACUUCUUACUUAAAGAAGAAAACUUUAUCCACGGUAUGACUCAUCGGCAACUACAACGUGGACAAACAAAAGUCCUCAUCGAACUUGGGCCCGCUCUGCUACCAUAUUAGAAUUGAGCCCAUCAUCCCCUAAAAAGACCUUAUAAAGGGGAGAAGGUACUCCAAACUUAUAUAUUGGAGACGAGAUCAUUACCAAGUCGAUGUGGGACAGAAAAGGAUUGCUUCAACACCCCAUAACCUAACCACUGCACAUGUAAAAUUCAUUUAACUAUUCAGCUGCGCUCUCAAACGACCAGAACUCUUCCACAAAAUCAUCAAUGCACACAAAAGAAAUCACCCCCAUGUCAAUAAAUAGAAAAUUUCACUCGUAAAAGUCAAAAGGUACUCUUUAACAGAAAAUUUAUAUGCGUUUGGUUGAGUGAUAAGGUAUGAUUGCUAAAAUAAUCCAACUUAAUCAAAUAUUUAGUUUGUAUGAUUCUACCCAUGAUAAAUAACUCGGGCCACACUCUAAUCACUCUAAUAAUCCAAUUGGAUGACUCCAAUCAUAUUAAUCUUAUCCACCAAACCAAAUGUUGCCGUAAUGUACAAGAUAAAGAAAUGCAUAAGUAGAUACUUUAACUAACUGAAGUCACCUCUCAUCCAAGUAACAUAUAAAUUCCCAUAAAGAGAAAUCAUUUCAAUAAGCAUUUUAAAAUCAAUACACAAAAAAAAAAAAAAAACUCAACUUUAAACCAACAAGACAAAUAAAGAACAAAACUUUGUUAGUCAUUAAAAAAGAAAAAAUGGAAAUAAAUACCUGAGCGACUACAGCGGCAAUCGACAUUCCGAGAGGAAGGCCGAGGGCGUCAACAUCACUCAGCCCGACAUUUCUCGGGCCCGCUGUCAGCGGCCCGACGCGAAUUCUUUUAGGAUUUCUAGAAAUCUUGAUGCCCUUUUUCGAAUACGAGGCCGCAGAGCUACAAUUACUCGAAGACUCUAAUGAUGCAUUGUCCGAAACUACUGUCUGUUUCUUCUUCUUAUUAAUCUUUCUUCUCGAUGUUGGUUGCGGGGCGUCGAUUGUGUGGCUGGUUGACAUCAUGACCGCCGGAUCUUCGGCGGCACAGCUGUCCGGUGAUGUGGCGUGGCGGUGGAGAGGGGCAUCCAUUGGAAACUAUUGGGGGGUUUCUGAUUUGAAAUUCGGUCUAAUAAAUAUACAUUUGACAAGUUUGAAUCAUUUUGCAAUAUUUGUAAAGUGCGAAAUUUUCGUUUCAGGCCCUAGACUUCUUCAUACCGUUAUUUGUGGCCCAUGUUUUAUCCGUAUUUGAAUUUUGAGACGUUAAAGAUUCUAUUUUGAGCACAUUUAUUUAUUUUGAUAAAUUAAUAAGAUUUCGUGUUAAUUGAUUUCCAAAAAUAGCAAUUACUACUAUGUAUCAUUAUAUGAGCAUUUAUCAAGCGAACUAUUUUGGUUGACUUUAAUAAUUAAGCUUCUUAACUAUUUAUCCUUGUCCCUCUAAAAAAAAAAAAUGUCCUUGUUGCACGAGGAAUAUUUUUUGAGCAAUUGGUUGCUGAUUUUUGUAGGAAAUGAUUAAAAAUUAUUGGAAAAUGAUUAUUUUGUGGCUCUAUAUAUUGUAGAACGUUCAGCAUUCUACUUUCAAGGGUUUUUUUAGUUUUCCUUUUUCUUUUUUAACUAGCGUCUAACCCGUCGAAAUUCGACGAGAAUUAUUUUAUGUCAUCAUUUAUAAUUAUUUUAUUACUAUAACAUAUGAAAUAGUUUAUAUAUAAAUUAUUUCUUUAAUUAAUUUGAUAUGAUCAAAUUAAAUUAGUAAUACAAUAUUUGAACUAAUAUUAAUCUUAAUCACUUUCGCUAAUUAAAUGUAGGUUGUGAUAAUAGAAAUACAUUUUUAUAUAAAUAUUCAUUUGAUGAAGUUUAUAAAAAGUUGAUGUGGGAUUGAAUAUUUUAAAAGAAAAAAAUAUGUAAAUUUGAAGUAUGAUAUGAUGUACGAUUGAUGUGUCGCAUUUACUGUUAAUCGUAUAUCGUAAUAUUACUUCUCCUCCCUCAAACAUUUUCUCUUUUUUUUCUAUUUUGGUCGUCCCCAAAAAUUUCCUAACCUAUUUUUUAAAACAAUUUCACUAAUUAUUAUUCUUACAAUUUCACUUUUUGUGGACUCUUCUCACUUAUCAAAUGCAUAAUACUUUUAAACUCGUGUCAUCCUUUUGUGGGACUCAUUCUUCACUUAUCAAAUGCAUAAUUAACUUUUAUUAAAACUCGUGUCAUCCUCUCUUAGGAAGAUGUUUGGGGGACGGAGGGAGUAUUAAGUUUGUUCAAAUUCUUUAAAUUUGACGGAUAAGAAAUAAUUUAAUUAAACAUAUGUGUAAUACCCCGAAUUUUCCUUAAUAAGGAUUUUAGAAUAAUUAUUGAGUUUAGAAUUAAGUCGAUUCGCACCCCAGAGAAAAAUUGUUUUAAUUCCAACAAGUUUUAAAGCAAAUUGAAUUUUAUACUUUACAAGUUUUGCUUUUUGGGCCGGAUACUCUUAUUUAUGGAUUUUUUUUCAAAGCCCAACUCUUAAUUUCAGAAGCCCAAUUACUAUUCCAGAUAUUUUCAUUUACCAUUAAUAAUUGGUUGAAGAGGGUGAAUCCACGUCCCCAUCUUUCUCCUAUUUAAAGAUCAUUCAUCAUCGUUUCUAAUCACCCUCACAGAUAGGGAUGUCAAUGCAGCCCGAAACCCGUGGGCCGACCCGAAUAACCCGAUAAAAUUAGAGGGUUAGGGUUGAAAAAUCGCAACCCGAAAAAACCUCCAGCCCGAUUAGCCCGCACCCGACUAACCCGGAACCCGAUAGGGCUAGCCCGAAACCCGAUGGGCUGGCCCGGUGGGCUGACGGAAUUGUGACUGAUGCAUCCAGUUACAACUUCUGCUAUGUUUAGAUCUAUGGUAUUUGCUUAAAUAUAUAUAUGUAGCCUCAUUAAAAAAAGUGAAAUUAAUUAGUUAGAAUAUGUGUGUGUGUGCGCAAUCUCAUUAAAAAAAGUGAAAUUAAUUACGGAUUUUUGUAGAAAUUGAUUAUUAGUAUCUCAUUAGUUAGAAAUUAAUUAUAGUAUCUCAUUUUAAAGUGAUACCAAAUUUUUUUUUAUGUCAAUGAGACGUGCAUGGCAAAUCCACUAAUUAUUCAAUAAUAAUCCAGAUUGAUUCUAGUGCAUUGAUACAUGUUAAAUUUUACUAUCUCAUUUUAAUAUAAUUUUGUUUAUGUAAUCUUGAAUAUCUUAUAUUUUUGCAUUUCAUGCUUUGCUAUAUAAUUUAUAUCUUUAAUAUCUAUGUAUAUUUUAUACAUUAUACAUUAGAUCAUUAGAAAUAAUAAAAUACAAAUGAUAAUUUUUUUUACGCCUUUAACCUGAUUAGCCCGAUGGGCUAGCCCGAAAACCGAAAGUUUAGGGUUAGGAUUGAAGAUUUACAACCCGAAAAAAUCUCCAACCCGAUUAGCCCGCACCCGAUUAACCCGGAACCCGAUAGGGCUAGCCCGAAAACCCGAUGGGCUGGCCCGAUUGACAUCCCUACUCACAGAGCUAUGGAACUUCUUCACAAAUUUCCAACAACGUUAUAACAUACACAAUUCUCUUUCCAUCUAAUCUCAGCUUACUUUCUUCACUCUCAAUUUGAAGAACAACUUUCGCACUCCCUUCAAAAUUUCUUGCAAAGUCGAAUACCAUCACAAACAUCAAUUUGCAGCAACCCACUCCCAACCAUAAUCUGGAGAAAUCAAUUUAUCUCACAAGAGGUAAACUAACAUCCACAUACACCCAGAUAACCAUUCCUCACAUCAGAGACAUAAUUUGAUUUGCAUAUCAUACACAUGCAUUUUCUGCAAAUUGCUAAUCAAAGCUUUUUAAAAGGAAUAAGCUAUCUUUUACAUGUAUAUGUUGGUGUGUGUACUGCUGUGUGCGUGAGUCUUAGAGGGGCUGUGUCGUCGUCCGAUUUGAGGGAGAACGGAGGAGGCAGAGGGGAUUGGCGACGGCGGCGGUGGCCUGAUGCUCCUGCUGCCCGUCGAUCCAGAGAGAGAGAGGGGGGUGGACGGCGGCUGGACGCGGGGCUGUUCGGCGGAGGGAGAGACGGCGGCCUCGGCCUUUGAGGUCGAUCGGUGGUAGCUGAUGGCUGCUGCCGUUCGUCUCUCAAGGAGAGGGGCGGGGCGCCGAUGAGUUGAAGAAUCAGAGGAGGAGGGAGGCGGCGAUGGCGGCGGUCCGGCUGACUGCUGCUGUCGGCUGGAGCAGAGGGGGGCCAAGUCCGGCGGUAACCUCGCCGGAAAUCGUAGGAGAAAGAGGGUUUAGGGAUUUAGAGAGAGUGAUUUGUGGAUUUGGGGGUUUGGCGAAUUGAGGGAGAAGGGAGAAAGAUUGAGAGAGAUGAGGGCGGCGGUGGUACGUCGGCGACGCGCCGGCGGAAUUGUAGGCGGCGGCAGCGUGAGAUGAGAGGAAGAGAGAGAGAGUGGCGAGUUCGAGAGAGAGAGAACGAUGAGAAGAGAGAGAGUGAGGAGAGACGCUUGUAUUUUUAAUUUUAGAUUUCUUUUAAGUUAAUUUUGGGCCUCUUCGGUUUUAUUUAUUUGGACUCUCUUUUAUUAACUGCAAUUGGCCGAUUUUUAUUUCAGAAGUGGACUGCUGUUUAAUAAAAGUUAUGGGCUCAGUUUUUAUAUUAUGCUUGGGCCUUAUUAAGUCAUUGUAGGNNNNNNNNNNNNNNNNNNNNNNNNNNNNNACGCAUUCAUACAUUCACAAAUUUUCAUUUGAAUAGAUUUUAUAACACAUGUAAUAUUUGUAUACAUAUUCUGUACAUACACACAUAUGUGUAUAAGCUAGUAUUGAAUGAUUCUACAUGUUGAGUAAAUGAAUAAAAAGGGGAGGGGAGGAAACUUGUCUUGAAGCUUCGAUUAUUACUCCUUGUUUCUGAGCUCGAAAUUACCCCUGGCUAUGUGUGUGAGUAGAGUCGAAAGGGAGGUGGUGGGGGUGGUUCGCCACUACUGGCGAGAGGGAGACAGAGGAGGUGGCGAUGGCGUCGGCCGCGGCUGCUGUUGUCGCCGACAGUCGCUGAUGGCGACGACUUCGCCGGAGGAAGGAGGCGGUGGAUGGGUAGGCGGGAGCUUAGGGCUUUUGACGAUUUUGGGGAUUUAGGAUUUGUGGAUUUGGGGGUUUGGGGGUUUGGCGAAUUGAGGGAGAAGGGAGAAAGAUAGAGAGGGAUGAGUACGGCGGUGGUACGCCGGCGACGCGCCGGCGGAAUUGUAGGCGGCGGCGGCGACGUCAGAUGAGAGGAAGGGAGAGAGAGUGGCUAGAAGGAGAGAGGGAGCCGAUGAGAGUGGUGAGAGAGAGAGAGGGAGGUAUUAGAAGGAAAAAGGGGAAAGGUGCUUGGGCCUUUUAAUUGUUGGGCUAAGGUUCUGGGCCUCAAUUAAAUUGAUAUGGCCUGGUCUUGUUAAGCUAGGUUUUCUUUUUGGGCUCAUGGUUUGGGCUGUCAGUUAAACAAAGUGGGCUGCAUUUUUUUACUUGCGCUAUUAUUUAUAUUUUGGGCUACAUUUUUGCAUGAAGAGGGCCUUUUAUUAAAUUACUAAGCGGGCCAUGAAUUUAUUUGUGAAUUGAGUUUUUAAGUAAAAGCCGAGCAAGGGUAUUAUUAAAACCCUUAGCCAAGAAAAAUGAUUUUCAAGUUUUAUGUUGAACUUUUUUGAAAACCCGGGUGUUGCGAAUCUAGUUAGAAAUGAUGAUAAGUCAUGAAGGUUAAACUUGAUUUUAGGACUAUGAGUUUAAGUUGAGAACUUAUCUUGUAGGUCCUACAGAAGAGGAUAUUUAGGCUCUUGGUCAGCUGAG